ensembl:lncRNA
UGCUGCGGCGGCUGCAGGUGCACCUGGAGGACAUGGAGCUGCGCCUGGAGCUGCCCCCACAGCCUGGGGGGGGCCUGGGGGGGGCCCUGGAGCUGCACCUGCCCAGGUGAGGGGCUCAGGUGUGUCCAGGUGUGUCCCAGGUGUGUCCCGGGUGUGUCCUGGGCGUGUCCUGGGUGUACCCAGGUGUGUCCCCGGGUGUGUGCCCAGGUGUGUGCCCAGGUGUGUGCCCAGGUGUGUCCCCAGGUGUGUCCAGGUGUGUCCUGGGUGGGUCCUGGGUGGGUCCUGGGUGUCCCCAGGUGUCCCCAGGUGUGUCCCCAGGUGUGUCCCAGGUGUGUCCCAGGUGUGUCCCAGGUGUGUUGCAGGUGUCCCAGGUGUGUCCCCAGGUGUCUGGGGUGUCUCAGGUGUGUCCCAGGUGUCCCCAGGUGUGUCCCAGGUGUGUCUCAGGUGUGGCUGUCCCCAGGGUGGAGUACGAGGACAUGGGGGAGGGUCCCGGCCCCCCCCCCGUGCUGCAGAAGCGGCUGCGGCUGCACGACCUGCGGCUGCUGUGGGCGGAGCCAGCCCCACCUGGGCAGCAGGUAUGUGUCACCUGUCACACCUGUGUGUCACCUGUGUGUGUCACCUGUCACACCUGUGUGUCACCUGUGUCACCUGUCACAUCUGUGUGUCCCUGUGUCACCUGUCACCUGUCACACCUGUGUGUCACCUGUGUCACCUGUCACACCUGUGUGUCCCUGUGUCACUUGUGUCACCUGUCACACCUGUGUGUCACCUGUGUCACCUGUCACACCUGUGUGUCCCUGUGUCAUCUGUCUCACCUGUGUCACACCCAUGUCCCACCUGUCCCACCUGUCCCACCUGUCCCACCUGUCUCACCUGUCUCUCACCCGUCUCUCACCCGUGUCUUACCUGUGUCCCACCUGUCCCACCUAUAUCUCACCUGUCUCACCCAUAUCUCACCCGUGUCCCACCCGUGUCCCACCUGUCAUACCUGUCCCACCUGUCCCACCUGUUUCACCUGUCUCACCUGUGUCCCACCUGUAUCUCACUUGUCCCACCUGUCUCUCUCUCUCACCUGUAUCUCACCUGUGUCUCACCUGUCUCUCACCUGUCUCACCCGUCUCUCUCUCACCUGUCCCACCGUGUCCCCCUCUCUGCCCGCAGCGCUGCAGUUCCCCCGCCGCCCAUCUGGGGGCGCUGCUCCCGGGCCCUGCGGAGCUGCGGCUGCGCCUGAGGCGGAGCGAGAGAGCGGCGGGGCCGGCGGUGGAGCUGGAGGCCACCGUGGGGUCCCUGCACCUGCUGCUGCCCCCCCCCCCUGCUGGGGGUCCUGCGGGGGGCUCUGGACCCCCCCGGUGAGAGCCCCUCCCCACCCAGCACCCCCAACCCGGCGGGACCCCAAACCUGGGGGGGGAGGGGCUGGGGGGGGUUGGGGGUCUCCUGGACCCCCGAAUCCUCUGGGGGGCAGUGGGGUAUUUUGGGGGGGGGUUUGGGGGGGCUUUGAGUUAUUUUGGGGUGUUUUUGAGGUGCUCCGUGCCGGUUUUGGGAUGUUUUCGGGCUGUUUUGGGGCGCUGUGUGUUAUUUUGGCAGAUUUUGGGGUGCUCUGUGUUAUUUUUAAGAUAUUUUGGGAUAUUUUGGGGCAGUGUGUGUUAUUUUGGGGUGCUCUGUGUUAUUUUUGGGAUAUUUUGGGGUGCUGUAUGUUAUUUUUAAGAUAUUUUGGGAUAUUUUGGGGCAGUGUGUGUUUUUCGGGGUAUUUUGGGGUGUUCUGUGUUAUUUUUGGGUAUUUUGGGGUGCUCUGUGAUAUUUUUGGGUAUUUUGGGACGCUCUGUGAUCAUUUUGGGAUGUUUUGGGCUGUUUUGGGACGCUCUCUGAUAUUUUUGGGUAUUUUGGGAUGCUCUGUGAUAUUUUUGGGUAUUUUGGGAUGCUCUGUGAUAUUUUUGGCUAUUUUGGGGUGCUCUGUGAUCAUUUUGGGGUGUUUGGGGCUGAUUUCGGGCUCUGCCCCCCCAGGUCCCCCCCCCGGGGGUCGCAGCCGCCCCCUGGGCCCGCAGGACCUGGCGCUGAUCGAGCGGGAGCUGAGCCGGGGCCUGCGGGGGGGGCGCGACCCCCCGACCCCCCCCGGGGGCGACCCCGACGGCGGUGAGGGGGGGGGGGGGCUGGGGGGGCUCCGGGGUGGGUUUUGGGGGGGUCUUGG